GGCGCUUCACAUCCACCUAGAGGAGCCUGUUCUAUAACCGAUAACCCCCGUUCAACCUCACCUUCUCUUGCCCUGUUCAGCCUAUAUACCGCCGUCGUCAGCUUACCCCAUGAGGGCCCAGCAGUAAGCGAAAUUGGCAUUUGGCCCAAAACGUCAGGUCGAGGUGUAGCCAAUGAGAAGGGAAGAAAUGGGCUACAAUUGCUUUAACAGCUAAUACGAAUUGCUUCGCGCUGAAACUGCGUACAUGAAGGAGGAUUUAGAAGUAAGGGGCAAGCAGAGUGUCCCCCUGAAACGGUUCUGAAGCGUGCACACACCGCCCGUCACCCUCCCCAAACAAAAUAUUCCAUAAGUAUACAUAAUUAAUUUUUCAUUUUAAAGGGGAGGCAAGUCGUAACAAGGUAGGUGUACCGGAAGGUGCACCUGGAAAAUACUC
rnacentral:rRNA from 1 species